rnacentral:lncRNA from 1 species
GUUUCUCAUUUUCAGCCUUCCUUGAAGCAGCAUGACCCAUCUGGAUGUCCUCCUCAUCUCAGGAAUUUUCUAAUAAGCUGUCUAAAUCCAGAGAUCCGACCACAGAACAAUGAAUGCCAAAGAUGAGUUCUAAAGAUGCGAGUACUUUCUUUCUAAACGGACGCUGCUUUGUGUAUGGCUCUGCUCCUGGGGGCAGACGCGGCAGGCUAAGCCCUGCGGAGGAGGAGGUCUCACAGCUUUGCCCCAUUUAUCAUGAAGAUGAACGCUGGUAACACUGCUACCUACGAGCUGAGCUUGCACGCACAUUCCUGGUGUGUACAUGCAUGCGUGCACGCUCACGCAAUGUGCU